rnacentral:rRNA from 1 species
UACCAGCACCCCGAGUGGUCGGGACGUUUAUUGGGCCUAAAGCAUCCGUAGCCGGUUCUACAAGUCUUCCGUUAAAUCCACCUGCUUAACAGAUGGACUGCGGAAGAUACUAUAGAGCUAGGAGGCGGGAGAGGCAAGCGGUACUCGAUGGGUAGGGGUAAAAUCCGUUGAUCCAUUGAAGACCACCAGUGGCGAAGGCGGCUUGCCAGAACGCGCUCGACGGUGAGGGAUGAAAGCUGGGGGAGCAACCAGGG